rnacentral:rRNA from 1 species
CCCUACGGGGUGCAGCAGGUGUCUUCCAUCAAUAAGGAAUGCCGUGUGGCGGGAAUCGGCUGCACGGACUGUAAAAAAAUACUGGCGUCGAACAUUGAAGCAGCCAUGAAUCCGGUUCAUGAGCGGAUGGAUUACUAUACAAGUCAUCUGGAUCAAAUUUACGACAUUAUUGCGGAUGGCAACGCCCGCGCAACCAAAAUCGCCCGCCAGACCAUGGACGAGGUUCGCGAGGCUGUAAAAAUUUAAAGGAGCCUAUGAUCGAAGAAGAAAUCAAGUCCGAUUAUGCCAUCAAGCUGGACGUCGUUGAAGGUCCGCUGGAUCUGCUUUUGUACCUGAUCAAGAAAAAUGAGAUCGAUAUUUACAAUAUUCCCAUCGCGCUGAUCACCCAGCAGUAUCUCGACUAUCUCAAUAUCAUCAAAUCGCUCAAUCUGGAAUUGGCGGGGGGGC